rnacentral:rRNA from 1 species
GUCCAAACGUUGUUCGGAUUUACUGGGUUUAAAGGGCGCGUAGGCGGUGCGCUAAGUCGGUGGUGAAAUACUUCGGCUCAACCGGAGAAUUGCCGCUGAAACUGGCGUGCUCGAGGGAGGUAGAGGUGCGUGGAACUUCCGGUGGAGCGGUGAAAUGCGCAGAUAUCAGGAGGAACACCGGUGGCGAAGGCGGUUCUCUGGGCAUUACCUGACGCUGAGGAGCGAAAGUGUGGGGAGCGAACAGG